rnacentral:lncRNA from 1 species
AAUUCGAAUACUAUUUGGAUAAUUUUUUUCGUUUAUAAUAGAAACACAUAUAUUAAAUUAUGAAUACGCGAAAUUAGGAAUAGAUUUUACCUUCAGACACGCGGUCCUGGUCGCUAGCGCCACCACGCGUUAUCAUACGCGUGUCACCGAAAAUGUCAGGCGUUGAUGAUCGAAUCAGCACAUGUUGUCAUAUGCGACCCACCAACAUCAUAUUUGGUCGCCACCCCUCCAUUUUUCUUCCUUUUUUUUCUUUUCUUUCAUCAUUUUUUCUUUUUUUUUUCUCUUUUUUUUCUUCAUUCUCCCCUUUUUUUUCUUUUUUUCUUUUUUC